rnacentral:rRNA from 1 species
CUACGGGAGGCAGCAGUGAGGAAUAUUGCACAAUGGGGGGAACCCUGAUGCAGCAACGCCGCGUGGAGGAUGACGCAUUUCGGUGUGUAAACUCCUUUUAUAUGCCAAGAAAAUGACGGUAGCAUAUGAAUAAGCACCGGCUAACUCCGUGCCAGCAGCCGCGGUAAUACGGAGGGUGCAAGCGUUACUCGGAAUCACUGGGCGUAAAGGACGCGUAGGCGGGUUGGAAAGUCAGGUGUGAAAUCCUACAGCUUAACUGUAGAACUGCACUUGAAACUUCUAAUCUAGAGUAUGGGAGGGGGAGAUGGAAUUAGUGGUGUAGGGGUAAGAUCCGUAGAUAUCACUAGGAAUACCUAAAGCGAAGGCGAUCUCCUGGAACAUUACUGACGCUAAGGCGUGAAAGCGUGGGGAGCAAACAGGAUUAGAUACCCUAGUAGUC